GGAAAGCACACCAUAUUUCACUUCACCCCAUGCACUUUCAAGGGACUUUGCAGAAAUGGCUUGUUCUGGGACAUCUGUGAAAUAUAAUUAGGAAGAAAAAUAAAGAAGCUUUCUUCCCCUUCAGAUUGAGAUAAUCCACAUUCAUAAAAAUAAGACUUUUUUCAUUGCCCUAAGUGCUCUCUCUGCUGAGAGGUCACCUUUGAGAUAGAAGUGUUUUAAUUUCCGAAGUUUUAAAGAUCUCAUAGAUGUGAAGAAGUGGAAACUGUACAAAAUUGUUCCCUGCCAUCAGAUCUCUUCCAUCCCAAGACUCAUCCCACCUGCAUUUAGUAAACAAACACAGCUGAUCAUCAGGAUUAUAAGGAAUUAAAUAUGUAUGCAGUUCCAUUGUCCUGACCUCCAAGGCUACAGAGAUAUCUUUUCUAAAAAUACUAUGAAAAUGAUGGAAGUGCUGAAGUGGAGACGUUCUCUAAUUCUUGGUAGCUGGAAUACUCACUACCAUUCCCAUGAGCCACCUUCCAUCUUCAGCCCGCACAGGAGGACCAGCGUCAGCCCUUCAGCUGCUUCUCCACCCUGCAACAAGGAGAAUAAAACAGGCUAGAGGAGAUCUCUGGACAAGAGAGCAGGUUGAAGGACAUCUCAUGAUACACACCAGAUGCUCUGAAUGCUACAGCUGAUGUCACUGGGCUGAAACAAGCAACAAAUAUUGUAAUAAGACCUGCAGAGGUUCCAAGAUCCUCCUUUUGCCUGGUUCAAGGACCACUGGGAACAUUAGCACAUCCCCUGGUGGAAAAAAAAAAAAAACCAACAAAAAACUAAUGCUUAAGGCACGGAUCUCCACCUCAGAAGCCUCUUGCAACCAACAGCACUACAUCCUCACUAUCAUGACUGAAUGGCUGUGAAGGCUGAAUAUCACCUCCCAGAUCAAAAAGUCCCCCUCCUCACCAUCUCUGGAGGGUAAAUAUCUGCAGCAAAUCCAGGAGGUCCUAAAAUCCCAUGGAAAGAUGGAGUCCAUGACUUUACAGCAGCCCAUCUGGAGGUCUGCCCGUUGGUCAGGACUCAAGACACCCCUUCUCUACUUCUGCAACAGUCCUGCUUUUACAUCAUAAAUGUUAGACAACACAAUUCUACUGCAUGGCUUGUUUUCUUCAAAUGUAAUAAUUUACUCAAAAGCCACAAAGAAAUAAAUUUCCCCAAAGAUACUUAUUUAAAGCAUUUUCUACAGAACAGAUCCUUAAAUUAGAAAAUAAAAUUGCAUGCAGGCAUAAAGUUGACAUUUCAGUUUAAUUAGGAGGACUACUGUACAAAUACUUGUUGAUGAUAUCAAAACAAAUCUGACUCCAAACUGCUGGUAAUAAUGAAAUUAAAAUUAAGUGCACAGAUGAGGCACUGUGUUAAAACUUGGACUGCUCUUCACCAAUUCCAAUAAGCAAAAAUUUGUCCCUGUACAGAAGAUCAAUAAAUGGUUCAUAUAUCAACAU
ensembl:lncRNA